UUUAACGCAUAAAUAGUUAAAAACCUUUGAUUAACUACAUCGUUAGAUUUAAGCUUGUUAAAUGCAAUCUAUCUGUAUUCCUCGUAAAUUUACAAGUAUGAUUCCAUUUUCCUUAGUAGAGCUACUGGAAUAUCCACUAUUUUUGUUUAAUAUACAAUACAAUAUUUUUGAAUGGUAUUUUUCCCGGUGCAGCAAAGAUUUGCAUUGCUGCUGUUUGCUGUUUGCUGGGCCCGCUUACCUUGCUUCGACUAAUUCGACGACGACUGGCUAAUUUAUGCCAAUUUAUGGCAUGUGGCCCCACCCCUUGGGGCGGUUCCCCGCCCACUUUCCCACCUCGGCCCACCUUUGAGCCGUGAGUGGUGCAGGGCCAUAUCUUAUCGGUCGAUAAGACCAUUGUUGGUACUGGACUCAGAGAUCUGUGGCAACACACUGCCUGUUGUGGGGAUCUUCUGUAAGCCGCUUACAAGGUAAUCGCUGCGAAGUGGUGGCAAUAUUUUGAUCAGCAUUUAAAUGCCUUCGAACGUUUGCAUUCAAAAAUAACCCAAAUAUUUGUGGCUAUUAAAAACUUUUCUUUCAAUUGAAUGGACAUGGCUGAACAACAUUUUUUUUUUCCGUUUGGCGCCAAUGAAAAUUUCAUCAUCGGCGACAUGGCGACAAAUGUUGUUCGCAUUAUUUUUGGGAUUUCCUUUUCGCCGCUCUCUUCGCGGCGGCAUUAAAAUUAGUUAUUUAAACGACUUUUUAGUUACACCGAGAAGGUUGGGGGUGUCCCAUGGUUGAGUCAUAAAAUCGUUAUUUUAUUGCCGCGUUUACAUGCUUGAAAACUCGUGGACAGAAAUGUAACCAAUGCGCUUCAUUAAAAUGUAGUAACAUUUAACAUAUGCAUCUCUGCAGUGAAUUUUCAUUGUUUUGCUCGUUUAUUCAUAAACAUUCCUCAAGAGUUGGUGACAACCAAUGGUUCUUGCUAUAUGUGCUCAAUUUAAAUGGUGUAAUAUUUGAGAUUGCUAUUUUAUCAGUGGAUCUAUCUAUUUUCCACACAGCUUCACGUUUUUUUUUAUUAUUUAAUGACAUCUAAUGCUUCUCGACAUGCCUCAUCAAUUUAAAUACAAUAUUAUUUAAGCUAUGCAUUUGUGAAAUGACUUUUCAUCAUUCAAUUCGUAGGUUUCGAAAUAUUUCAUGGAUCUGUUCUAUCGUUGAUAUGCAAAUGAAAACUUUCCACAGCAUUAUCUAAUGGCUUAUCGGACUUAAGAUCGCAUUCAAAGAAGUUCGGUUUCGAGUGGAAUCGAUUGAUAUUGAUGGGGAUCAAGAACUUAUCCACUUGAUUUGUACAUUGUUACACACUUCUCGCUGUGUUUUGUCAUAAUUUUAACCAAUUUAUGCACAUUUUUCCACAUGUACCGUUAGUCGCCGAAUGGCUUAUCACGUUUCUAACGGUACACGGUCUCUGGUACCUCCUACCUCUCCAACUCCAUAAACUCCCCGAAGUAUCCCGCCUGCCCCUCGGGUGCUUUUCUGGCUCUUUGUUCGCAUAUGAUUAUCGACUGUCUGCAGAGGGACAGGUGAACGAACCUCAACACUGGAAUGACUAUACGAAAUGAUCGAUUUCAUUGUUUUUCGCCAGCCGUCUAUUUCACAAAAAUCUAAUUUUUGAAAUACGCAUAUCACAUAAUUUAUGCACGAAAACUUUUAGCUAAUAAACCAAAACUCCCGAAAGAGUCCACGUUAAAUGGGGGGGAUAAUUAAGGCAAAUUUAUGGCAAGAGUUCCCUGAACCCUACAGAAAUAUAAGAUCAUUCUGAACUUUCACCACAGCCAAUUUGACAUUUGAUGUUCCACGAAAACGAAUUUAUAAGCGUGCCGCUCUUUACCAUCGCCCCAUUUUUACCAUUACCCCGCCCACUAUUUAUUUAACAAGAAACAAAAGUGUUAAGACCCGAAAAGAAAUGUGUUCACAUUCAGGCUACAAGUUAAUUAGCCACAGAAAUAGACAGCGAAGGAGCGCGAGAACAGAUGAAAAGAAACCAAUAUGAAAGCUAUAGAUACAAGAUACAUGGGUAUCCAUAAGAUAGCCAGCCAGCCAGUCGGCCGUCCAUGUCAACAAACAGUUCGACACGCUCGAUCGGCCAUUAAAAUUGUUUUGCCCGGCGAUCGGCGGAUCGGUGAAGUGAAGUGAAUGUGAAUUUCAUGUUCCAUUGGCCAGAACUCUUUCGAUCCCGCUCAAGAUCUCCCCAUUCCCGCGAUAUCUGUCACACAGAUCUGAAAGGGGCCUUCGGCAAUCAUAAAUCUCUCGACACCUCGGUGAGAUUUGAUCUAAAUUUGCGCUUAAUAAUAAACUCUCGGUUCCUGCCAAAAGUGAAGAUAAAAGAAGCGAACGUAUUAUUCGCAGGUCAAAGACUUUGGCUGACUCCGCUUGAUGAACCCUCAUCCGCAGCGCUCUCUACUUUUAAAUAAUUGCAAUAACCAAGGCCCACAUACAACGUGGUCGACCAAGUGCUUUCAAAUGAGACAUGGCCACAACAGAUUUUGGGCCAUAGUGCGAUGAUUGAUCGUUCGUGCGCCACUCUAACAAAACGAGAAGCUCCCAAUCCCAAUAUCAUAAAGUGGGAAGUAUGGGAAAACCACUUCAGUACAAGUACUCAUGUUUGGUAGGCUUGUUUGUGCUGUCUUUCUUCUUUGAUUGUCUUUGCGAUCGUUGACAUUCGAUUGCUUCGCCAUGGACAGCAAUCGAUUGAAAUCGUAUACAUAUGUGUUGCACAGUGCGCACUAAAAGUUGUUGCUUAAGAUAAGAUAUUCAGCAGAAAAUAAGUAGUUUCUUGAGCAAAUUUAAAUUCAACCUUUAGCGUAUCUGCUAACCAACACCUUGCAAUUAACCCAGAUAAUUAGUUAAUUGGUCUUUCAAAAAUUAUCAUUAACAAGCUCAAAACAGCGUUAGCUAAUGAGCAUUGAAAUUCAAUAUUUUCGAGGCGCACUGUUGCCGCGUAUCUGAAUGUUUCGAUCUAAAUAUAGCGGGCGCCGUGACACUUGACUAUAUCUUGUAUCUUGUAUCUCGAACGCUUGACCAUGUGCGGUUUGCGACCAGUUUGUGGGCGUGUCGUCGAUGGUCGACGAUCGGCGAUCAAUGAACGACCAAGACAGAGGUUAAUGCUAAGGCGACCAAGGCUAGUGCAUCGGAAUUGUGGUUCAAUUGAGUGUCGCUGAGCUUUCAGGGGCUCUGUUUUGUUUUUUUUUUGUAGUCCAGUGUUCACAGUUACAACCGUAUCUAUGCCUUAAAAGGCGGCUGUCUUUGAGCCUCGUGUGUCAUUGCCGGCCGGAGGGGCUGAACGCACAUUAGCGGUACAGAAAGGCACAAACCCAUCAUAGCCAUAUCAAAUUUCGCGGCUAGGCCAAGAUAAUUGAUUGGUAGAGUUGGUCGGAGCUGUAGGCUUCAGGCAGUAGCUGUGUAGCUGUAGUUGGAACUUGGCUUUCGGCUUUGGGUUUGGCUCAAAGUCAAAGCCGCACGCCCGCAAGUGCUGACAUUUGUUGGGUGUCACGACUCGGCAAACUGGCAGCCAGAAGACUGAAGACAACUCCUGGCAUCUUGAAGGCACAAACAGUUUGUGUUCUAAGUCGGUCGCAUUGUCAGUUAGUCAGUUAGUCAGCUAGUCAGUCUGGCUGUUAGUCACUCACGAACUGUGGAACUUUGGAAACUUUCUUCCGUGCCGCAGAAUGACAGCGGCAGAAGCUGCAGCAGCCCAAAGGAGGCCCAGCAUCCACCCAGAUGCUCAUCAUGAUGUCAUUGAUCCCGGACCAUCUCUUCCCAGUUGCAACACAACAGGCAUGGAGCAUUGUUCUGCAGGAGGCACAAGUUGCCGUCGUCGUGGGUUUUAUCGCCUUUUGCUGAUCGGCUGCAACUUGCGGUACUUGCUCGGUUCAAGAGUCAGCACUUACUAGUCACAGUGGCGGUCAAAAAAAUAUCACUCAAAAUAGGUGCAAUAUCUUAAGCAUUUCUAAGCCUUCAAAAUCAUUCUUAAAGUGUGAUUGGAGCACCUUAAAAGAUGCACCUUAAAAGGGAAUGUAACUGAGUGUUAGAAUGUACCUUGUUCUAAAAUAGUUUGUAUCCCCUUUUUUUGCAUGAGGAAUAUAUCUAUGCUUCUAGAUCUACUUUCUUGACCUCUUCUGUAUCUGCCACAUGCAGUUGCAGUCACAGUGGCAGAUGCAACCAACAGUUACUGCCUGCAACAUUUUUGUGAAAAUUAAUUUAACACGAGCUGACGACUAAUUUUGCAAGUGCCACCAUGCCCCCCAAUCGCCUUUAAGAAGCCAACCAAAUUUCAUUAUAUAGAAAUUUUUGGUUUUGGGUAAAUUUUCUUUAUGACUUCAUAUGGCUUCGGACAGCUGCAAACUUGGCGGCAUCGCUUUAAUAGCCUCAACUUUUGGCAACAAAAUACGAACAAAAAAAAAAAAUACAAAAAGAAAAUAACGAACCCAAACUUGUUUUGGCCACAGAAACUGGUUCUCUUGGCCAAAGAAGAAGUUUUCUGUUGUUAUUCCUUUUUUUUUGUGGAUUUUUCGUGAAUUUGUUUCUAAGUUGGGCAAACGCAUGCCAAGUCGAAGCUAAGAGGCUAAGAGAAGAUAUUAACUAAAUGAUAAUGCUUAGCAGGUAGUUAAGGGCUUGGUCCGUCCAGAAAUUGCCUCGUCCACGAGCUUAAGCCAGCUUCCUCCUUCCAGCGAUCUUCUGAAGCGGAAGUCACCAUUUGGGCUUUGGCUUCUAUGGUACUUCUUGGCUACGUGCUUUUGGCCAAGUCGUUGGUAUUUCAGUUCGCCGACUUUACUUGGCGACUUGGAUUUCCGCUUCUGUUUCCACAAAACUCUGAUUGAUACAACGCAAACUCAUUGAACCAACAAGAUCAGAACGUGAAAAUCCACUUGGAAAACCGUCUGUCUGUCUAUCUAUCUGUCUGUCUGUCUAACUAACUGACUGUUUGAGUGCUGCCCCCAAUGGAAAUUCAUUUUCAUCGCCUCAAUCAACAAUUUAAUUCAAUUAAGUUUUGAAAUGUUUGUGGCACGUCGGCCGAACUGCAUGAAAAAAAUAACAAAACAUACUGUAAGUAAACGAAAACAAAGCCCCCAGAAAGAAUGCAACUGCAAGGCGCACCAAAUGUGUUUAAUUAUCAGAAACGGAAUUUUCAUGAACCACCAACUAAAACAAAUGCCAAUAAAAAAUGUGCAUAAAUUUGAAGACAGGUCUCUGCUGCCGGGCAGAACGUGCAAUUGGCCGCUAUGGAAAAUCGUUUGGGAAUGUUGGCCAAAAACGGUGCGGUGCGCUUUCUUGGUACUGGCUAGUACGCCAAUCUUGGCUAGCAGAUCGUUUUCCCAGGCAAGUUCAACAAAAUUGUGGACCAGCUGAAAGGGCCAGUAAUACACGUAACACUUUAUUAUUAUACAAAAUAUCAAAGUCGUUAUUAACCAAUUUUUAAGAGUUUUAUUAUAGCAUCAACUGGGUGCAUACAAGUUCUUAAUUUAGAGAAAUGUCGUCAUUUCUUUUAUUAAGCUAAAAAGUUGAUUUUUAAUAUCGUUAACCUCCUAAGGAAAUCAUCCAUAAUCAUCCAUAAAUAUUGCCGAAUAGGAACAGCUCUCAUUUGCAUAAUCGUUUUGUCACUCCAGAGCGGGAUUCUUCUCCUUUGAUUAAUGAAUGUAUUAAUAUAGCGUUAAUGACUUGGACCGGCGGACAUUCAUUCCAGAAUUAGCUCAGAUUAUGCCAAUCCGUUGAACAGCUAUGAAAAAUCUGGUUCUCCAGAGAUCGCUGAGCUCUACUCUAAGUAACUCUAAGCUGCUUAACCGCAAACUAGUUUGGUUAUUUAGACUUUACGUGGAGAUACGUUUCAAUUUCGCCAACUGUAUUCGGCAAGUGCAACUGCACAGCAGAACGAGGCAAAAGCUAAUCGACGGAUCGCGACUUGUAUCUUAUAAAUACACCACAAUUUAUGCAUUUGCUCGCAUUUGCCUAAGCAAAGAACCGUUAAAUGUUCGCGAGCCUCUUAAUUAAAGUCCAUGGAAUCCAUAGAAUCAACAGCAGGGGGAGAAACACCAGCACUUGGCGGCGCAAAAUGAUUACGUUCUUGUUCUCCUUUUUUUUUUCGCAGUGAAUGGCCGCCACUUACAGAAACCAAUUUACACGGCCGAAAAGCUUGCUCAAUUUAUGUGAAUGUGGAUGAGCAAAGGCAGAUUCAGAUACAGAUACAGAUACAGACUUAUAUCUGGUAUCUGAAAAUUCAGUUUAAACAAACGCCGCAUGACAUUGAACGGCAGACGGACGGCGGAAUUCUCUCCGUUUCCUCCAUAAAUUUUGGCCAGUUUUGUAAUAUUUUGGCCAUAAACAAAAAGUACUAAAAAAUUGGUUUCUCUUCGCCUUUUAAAUGUAUAUUCAUUCCUCUGUUUCGAAUAAAGUAAUUAAGAGUCUCAUUGAGAGGAUAAUAAAUCAAUUUCGCUUGGCUUCACACUUGAGAGAAGGGAGAACCCAACGUAGAAAAUGCAAUGCCAAAGCCAGCGAUUUGCAAUAAUGCUGAUGAUGAUAUCAUAUGCGGGAGGAGUGUUUCUGCUUGGCAAUUAGCCGAUCUGGGUGUUUUUGCAUUCACUGGGUAGUCAAGCUGCUUAUUAUUACAUAGAACACCGCUUUUCCGAUUGCAAAUGCGAUGAGUUUGGAGGCCGGACGGGUUUUUAGACGAUGUUAUAUAACCAACUGAAUCGUGACUAAUGGCAACAGCUUUGCGUUUGCUAAUAUGCAUGGCAGCUUAUCAUUCACUUCGCGGUAUCUGCUGUGAAAGGGGGUCAGAAAAAUGGGCACUAAACUGCACAGAAUCAAUUUGAAAUGUUAAAUACUCUACAACCAAUUCUGGGAAGAAGGCUUUUAAGAUUGUUUCACUUUACAUACAUUAUCUCAACAACUUUAACUACACUUAGCUUAUCUAUUGUUGAUAGAAGUCUUAGCAUUGACCUGAAUGCACAAGCGUUUAUAGAUCUUUCCGUGUAAGUGCACUUUUGAUUACAGAGAUACUGCUAGGCACUAUCUUUUAUUGCUAUUUAUUCACUUAAGUGGUAUCAGUAACCUAAGUUUACAGGUCAAUGGAAUUAAAUAUUAGCUUCCAUUGUUUUAAAACUGAUGUUACAGUUUAAUGUAAUAUUGAUAGUACUAUGAAUGUGGAUGACGAAAUCAUUUUCAAGAACUUUCGUUUGUCAUCAGAUCUUUGGAUACACAUGAAAUCAGAAGCAUGAGCGAAGUUGCUCACGCGGUGAUCAAGAGCAUUGAACCUCUAAACUUUUGUUGUACUUCUUCAUUUUUAUGACUUUUGGAAGUUUCCAUUUCGAGAGUGUUGAAUAGUUUUUACACAUGCCCGGCGUAACAAGUGGAAUUUUAUGUAUGGGAGAAGAAAAACAGUGGAAAAGGUGUCUGGAAAAUAAUUAAAUAAUAAAAAGUAUCUCUGAGUGGGAUAUACAUUUAUUUAAAUGCCAUUUAAAACAAGGCAAACCCGUUGAAUCAUCGGCAUUAAAAUGCAUGAUGACAAUGAGAAAACUAAUAAAACUUUCCCCCCAAAGAUUCUCAGAAUCUCAGCUUUAAAGUUUUUUUUAUUCUACUGUUAUGCUUCAGGAAUAAGUUUUUUAGUAGCUGGUGAUCUAGGCUUAAUUGAUUAAUAAUGAAAAUUUUUACACAAUUUAUUUACGCAUGAUUUCAUGAUUUGAUGGGCCAGUUGAACCCAAGUUCAAGUUCAGUUGGCACAGUCGGCGACAGGAAAAAAAAAAUAUAAUUAAAAAUUAUUAUGUCACGCAAUGUUUACGAGUGUUUGUCGGCUCAUUGCGCAAUUGCGAACGAACGCUUCGAUUUCUAUUCACAUCCACAAUCGAUGAAAAUCCGAAAUUGACGUAAUGUGUUUUUGAUUGAACAUUUUGGGGCACGUUUCAAUACCGAGCAGGCGCCGCAUGAGUUGCCAAAUCAAAACUACAAACAGUUUGUGAAUGAAUAGCUUUAAAUUGGCGUGUUAAUGACAACAACAACAGCAACUGCAAAACUGUAAAUAAACAUUUUCCAUAUGGAGGCACUCCAUGGAACUCUCGUGGUGAGCCAUAAUAACAUGCACACUUAUGGCCACAAGGAAAAGCUGAAAAACUGAAUAAUUAUUCAUUAGCCAAGUGCCAAAAGCGUAUUCAAAUGAAGUUGCCCAUGCGAAAACCCAAAACCAAAACAUGUGUCAGCCAUGUCAAUGCGUUUUGGCCCAUACCGAAAACCGAAAACCGAAAACCCCAAAAAGUCGAAGCUCGAGUGCAUUUGUGCUCUUUGGCCAAAUGCGGUUUUUCUUUCAACUACAGCUUCAAGUUGUUUAGGAUGAUUUCUCUCCCUCUUUUUCUUGGCAAACGAUUUGCCGGCGGAAAUUUCAUAAUCAUGGUAAAAUGAAAAUGUUACAUUUUAUGAAAAUGUAUUAUUAUGUCCAUCAUAAAAAUGCCAUUGAAUGACACUUGCGCUUGUACGCUGCACUCCAAAAAACCACCUCCACGAAAUAUUUUGACAGCAGCAAUUUCCCAGUUCCCCCCUGAAAUACAAAUAAAAACCCCCCCCACCUCCCAUCGCA